rfam:Paenibacillus macerans strain 8244 genomic scaffold scaffold1, whole genome shotgun sequence.
UCCAUCGCGAGGUGGAAUCUGAAGGAAGCCGGAGGCAAAAGCACGGGCCAAGGUACACAAACUGGAUUUGAGGCAGGAUGAACCGGAUGAGCUGCCAUAACACAGCGAAAUCCAAAGCCGCCAAGGAUCACUCCUGUAAACUCCAGUGGUCGUGGGCGGAAAGAUGACGUU